rnacentral:rRNA from 1 species
UACAGAGGGUGCGAGCGUUAAUCGGAAUUACUGGGCGUAAAGCGUGCGUAGACGGUAGCGUAAGUCAGAUGUGAAAGCCCCGGGCUCAACCUGGGAAUUGCAUUUGAGACUGCUCUGCUCGGGUGCGGAAGAGGGAAGCGGAAUUUCCGGUGUAGCGGUGAAAUGCGUAGAUAUCGGAAGGAACACCAGUGGCGAAAGCGGCUCACUGGACCAUAACUGACGCUGAUGCACGAAAGCUAGGGGAGCAAACAGG